UACGUAAGGUGCAAGCGUUGUCCGGAAUUAUUGGGCGUAAAGAGCUUGUAGGCGGUUUGUCGCGUCUGCUGUGAAAUUUCGGGGCUCAACCCCGAACUUGCAGUGGGUACGGGCAGACUAGAGUGUGGUAGGGGAGACUGGAAUUCCUGGUGUAGCGGUGAAAUGCGCAGAUAUCAGGAGGAACACCGAUGGCGAAGGCAGGUCUCUGGGCCACUACUGACGCUGAGACGCGAAAGCGUGGGGAGCAAACAGG
rnacentral:rRNA from 1 species